ensembl:misc_RNA Metazoa_SRP Metazoan signal recognition particle RNA
GCCAGGCAUGGUGGUACAUGCCUGUAAUCCCAGCUACUCUGGAGGCUGAGGCAGGAUGAUUGCUUGAGCCUGGGAGGUGGAAGCUGCAGUGAGCCAAGAUCGUGCCACUGCACUCCAUCCUGGGCUACAAAGCAAGACUCUGUCUCAA